rnacentral:lncRNA from 1 species
CGAUUUUCAAUUUUUCUAAAUUACUUGCAGGGGUGGGGGCGGUGAGGAGAGUGGAAGGCGAUCCUUGUGCCAUCUGGCGGUGCCAUGCGGAAUUUCGCUGAAGAAGCCAAAUUUACUGACCAUCUGUGCCUAGGGUGGGUUUCUCCGGGGAAAGGCUUUGAACAUCUCGUCGUUUUGAAACCAAGGUAGGAAACAGCCUCCUCCACGAAGGAUUAAUUUAAAGACAGAGAUUCCGUGGGUUGGUGGGAAUGGAGAAGGAAAUUCUUUGCGCUGGAAGUUCACAGUUACAUUACAUAGAUUUCUAGACUAAACCAUUAUAUACGUGCACGACGUAACUCUUGAUUUUUAAAAAAGAUAAUUUAUAUUCCAGUGGCACAGAAGUUUGAGAAAGGCCUAGGUGAGCUGUAGAGUUGAGCAUUUUGCUGCAUUUAUUCAGAGGAUCGUGCUGGCGUCUGUGCAAUAUCCACCACUGAACACGUGAGGGCGUGCUCAAGUCUCCCGGGCCCUUGGUGUCAAUCAUCUGAAAUUUGCAUACUAGUCCUCCAGUCGCUUGGAGCUUGUCAGUCCGCUGUGGCAGCUGUAAGGGAAAGAAUCGGACGGAGAAGAAUGAAAAACCACUUCGUUCUAGCAGAGCGAAAGAAAAGCAAACACGAACCAAGGACAUAACACUUUAUAAUGGGAAAACACUCUCCAGCCCCCGGCCAGCUCCAACACGCCGAAGAAACUUGUCUGAAACGAGAAUUUGGAUGCAACAGGGCAACGGAGCAACGUCUCUCCUCUCCACUAAGCCAGCCCUCGCCUCUGAAGAAUUUUGUACUAGCCGUUAACAACAAGCAUUGCAAUAAACUGGAGUUGCUUCUACGGCAUUAACCGAUUUGGGAAAUUAAUUUCAAACUUUACAUUCAAUAGCCAAUGGGUUUUUCCUUCGUUAAGGAUUAUCAGACUGUUCCGGGUAUCUUUAAAGUUCGCCCUGGUUUGCAUGACUACAAGAGGCUAAGAUGUGUGUGUAACCUGUGACUGCAGGAGAACCGAACGGGGCUAAAUCGGUGCUGAGAGGAGGUGGGGAGAAGUGUGUGGUGCAUACGAAGCCUCGGCUGUUAGACGAAGCGUAAUUUAGUGUGCACUUUACAAGAAAAGCACAAAUCGACACAGCGGCAAAAUUAAAUCUCUUCCUGAGGGUUUUUAAGUAUCUUUUUCAGACCAACAGUAAACCAUGCCUUCUACUUUCUCUUUACUCCCUCCCCCGUGUGUUGGCUGCUGGAGACCCUCCUUGGUAAAUCGCUUCCAGAAGGUCUUCCAAGCCCGUGAGUGUGCGGUUUGUAACUGUCAGCCCCUCUGACUCAGCGGAAAAUGCCCG